rnacentral:rRNA from 1 species
UACAGAGGUCUCAAGCGUUGUUCGGAUUCAUUGGGGCGUAAAGGGUGCGUAGGUGGCGCGCUAAGUCAGGUGUGAAAUUUCGGAGCUUAACUCCGAAACUGCAUUUGAUACUGGCGUGCUUGAGGACUGGAGAGGAGACUGGAAUUCAUGGUGUGAGCAGUGAAAUGCGGUAGAGAUCAUGAGGAAGACCAGUGGCGAAGGCGGGUCUCUGGACAGUUCCUGACGCUGAGGCACGAAGGUCAGGGGAGCAAACGGG